rnacentral:tRNA from 1 species
GUCGCGGUCGUCGAAGCCGACGAGCGACGCGACCUCGUCCUGGUCGGCGAGCAGCAGCCGGUUGGUGUGCCGCCGGGUCGCGACCUGCACCGCGUCGC